rnacentral:tRNA from 1 species
GCGCCUAUAGCUCAACAGGAUAGAGCAGUUGCCUCCUAAGUGACCGAUCCAAGUUCGAGUCUUGGUGGGCGCA